UCGUCCAAGCACAGCGGGCCUUGAUGAGCA
rnacentral:piRNA from 1 species